rnacentral:misc_RNA from 1 species
AUGAUUUUUAUUAUUUGUGAAGUACUACGAAUUAACAACAAUAUUAUAGUCAAAACAAAAUAAAUCA